ensembl:misc_RNA 7SK 7SK RNA
AGAUGUAAGGGCGAUCUGGCUAGGACAUCUUCUACUCCAUUGAUCGCCAGGGUUGAUUAGGAUGAUCUGGCUGGCUAGGUGGGUGUCCCCUUCCUCCCUCACCGCUCCACGUGGGUCCCUCCAGAAGCUGCACGAGGUCGGUAGAAGAGGAGGACCCUCCCCGAUAGAGGAGGGCCAUUGGUCAAAGGUAUACGAGUAGCUGCUCUCCCCUGCUAUAACCUCCAAACAAGCUCUCAAAACAAUAGCAAGCAGGGCUGAUGGCAACUAGAGAAAGUAUGCCCUU